AAUAGGAUACAUUUCUAUGCUAUUAACUAUUUUACACGUAUGUAUACUUAAAAGUAACAAUUAUCUGCAUCUUCUCAUAGAAAUAUUGAAAGGGGAGAUGUUAACAUUAAAUCCCAAAUUUCCAGUUUAUGAAAUGUUAUAGAUCAUGCGCUUGCUCUCUUUAUAACUUCGAUAAAAACUGAAAGCUUACAGAAACAUUAUUCAGUCACUAUUUGGAGUUAUUCUAGUUUUGAGUUCAUCCUUUUCCAGAAGAUUUGUUGAAAACCUAUUAUGAAUUAGAUUGGACAUAAAAUCACAAUUCCGCUCCUUUUCCCAAUUAUGACAUCGUCAUUUUUUUUUCAUGGCGUUGUCUGUCUCCUUCGAAUUUUGAAUAGGUUUUGUCUUAUUGACAUUGAAAACAUAUCUUUAACUUUUUAUUUUUUUCAAUAAAAUUGAGAAUGGAAAUGGGGAAUGUGUCAAAGAGACAACAACCCGACCAAUUGAAAAACAACAGCAG
rnacentral:lncRNA from 1 species